GGCCUGACUGAGUGGUCUGGCCUCGUGUCAGUACUGCUCUGGUCGGGUCUUUCCUUCUAGGGAACCAACUGCUCUUAAUUGAGUGUGUUGGGGAUCUAGGACUUUUACUUUGAAAAAAUUAGAGUGUUCAAAGCAGGCAUAAGCUUGAAUACAUUAGCAUGGAAUAAUAAAAUAGGACUUUGGUUCUAUUUUGUUGGCUUCUAGGACCGAAGUA
rnacentral:rRNA from 1 species